rfam:Candidatus Portnoybacteria bacterium RBG_13_40_8 RBG_13_scaffold_702, whole genome shotgun sequence.
CGCGGGGUGGAGAAGUAGUAUCUCGUCUGGCUCAUAACCAGAAGAUCGACCGUGCAAUUCGGUCCCCCGCAA